CCCAAACCCUCAUUUUCAUCUUCCACAAUAAGCUAGAGAGAGAGAGAAAACAAAAGCCAUGGCAUUCGGCCAUGGCUAGCAAAUUGGAGCUCAAAUUUUUUGAUCCAAAAAUCAGAUUUUCCAAGUAUUCCAACCAGUUAGGAAGGCUAUAAUAACGUGGAGUAGUCAUUUGGAGCAACAAGAACAAGUAUUAGUUCAUUUCACAACUUCUAGCCAAAUUAAGAAGCCAACUUGUUAAGGUUGAAGUGUCAAUCGAGACGAGUUUAAAUUAUUGAAUUGGUACGGACGACAAACGGUACACCCCGAUGAGUAGAAGACUUUGCUAAAGGUGUUCCAGCGGGAUUGGCGAGCUCCAUCUCAGUUCGGAGUGUUGCCGGGUCAAGUACUUAUGUCAUUGUAUUUUGUAUGUGUUAGAGACUUUGCAGACAGUGUCCUGUGGAUAGGGCGUCGAGCAGUGCGAAUCAUUUAUAUAUGUUAAAAGAGUAUGUAUUUCCAGAUGAUUUCUGUUGGUAAAAAGUGCGUAAUUGAUUGAAAGUUUUUCAUAAUCUGUAUAAAGACGAUGAUCUUUAUUUGGAAAGGUGUCAUGUUUUAAAAGUUUUUGAAACAACAGGUUUUGGUAAAGCGAACGUUUAAGGGUUCGCUCGACUCUGAUGAGAGUCGGGUGCCCAUCAUGCCCUAUCAAGAUGAGGGUGUGACAGAAGUUCAUGGUCUUCGCCCCUUUGCAUCUGAUAGGUAUUUUCUUUCUUUCCAUUAUC